UACGAAGGGUGCAAACGUUGCUCGGAAUUAUUGGGCGUAAAGCGCACGUAGGCGGCUUUUCAAGUCGGAUGUGAAAUCCCUCGGCUUAACCAAGGAAGUGCAUCCGAAACUGGAGAGCUUGAGUACUUAAGAGGAUCGCGGAAUUCCCGGUGUAGAGGUGAAAUUCGUAGAUAUCGGGAGGAACACCGGUGGCGAAGGCGGCGAUCUGGGAAGAUACUGACGCGUGAGGUGCGAAAGCGUGG
rnacentral:rRNA from 1 species